CUUUAGCAAGUAAACACGUGUUUAUUUGUAUUAUUAAAAUAUAUAUGCAUUUUUAAUUUUCCCCCAUAACACACAGUACACGCUAUUGAAUUGUACCGUGUAUUCGUGUCUAUAGCGUUUUGGAAUUUUGCGAAAUAUUUCAAAUUGGUUUUAUCUUUACCGACCUAUGUGGUUUUUUUUUUUUUCAUGUCUGUAACCACUCUGUAUGUCGAAUUAGAUACUUGCUCUAAUUUAUAAACGACAAGAGACCUUUUUCGUUGCAUUUGGACCUAGUUGGUGCAUUAGAAAGGCCGUUCUUUCAUUUUCCAUGGGAUUUGCAAAAUAAUUGGGAAAAUCCGAAAGUAAAAUUACAGGAAAUGGCCAAUAUUUACGGCAUGUCGUGGCAUUACCGUUUCCAUUGUUUUUAUUUUUACGCAAUUUGUUUUCUACCAGAAUAUUUCUUUAAUUUAGCGAUUGUUUUCUAGGACCGUGUAAACCUGUUUAGAGUAUAGAGUAUAGAUACCUAUAUUGUUGAUUUUUUAUACUUAGGAUAAUAUAAAGCAACUAGCAAGCAAACACGAGCAGCGGCGCGUUUAGGGUUGGCGAAGGGCGCGAACGACCAAGUUUUAAAUUCAACAACAUAACAUCGCAUACCACAGAAUAAAAUAAAAUUUAAUUUCAUCAAAAAUAAUUUAUUCAAUAAUAAUAGUAAUAGUAAUUACUGGGUACUGUACUGAUAAUAAGUGCUUUCCUCUUUUGGAAAUUAUUAUAAACAAAACCCCUCCGGAAAAAAAAAAUCUUGCGUGCGCUACUGGGUGGGUAUUAUUUUUCUUUUGCAUAUUUUAUAGUUCCGUAUUUUAAAUGCAUACCUAUUUUAGGAUUUUAAGAAUAUAAAUGUAUAUUUCAGUACAUUUUUCGAACUUUUUUAAAAACAAUUUAAAUUAAUAACGAAAUAUAAAACAAAAAGCAUACAAUUGAACAAAUUAAAAAGACACAUUAUAUCACACUGUAAUGCUUAUAUUGUAAAUAAAUAUGUAUUAAAAAACUAAUAAUAAUUUAUAACUAAAAACAUUUUAAUUUUGCGAGUUUUGUACGUAAUUUUUAUUCGGUAGAUACUCGCACUCUGUGGUAAAAUUGUUAGACUUAACAAAAAAAAAAAAAUUUUAAUUAAUGUGGUAUUCUUUUUUUGGGCAAAGGAAUUUUAAUAGCAAAUUUUGAAGAAAAUUGUUAGAAUAAAUAAUUAUAAUGAAGCAAUCUAAUUUUUUAAUUUUUAUGUUUUGAACAUAUGUAAAUAGCCGAUUUAAGAACGAUGGUGAAGUCAGAAUUGAGCGGACUCACUAAGCUUUUUGAAGUCCUGAUGUUAUGUUAAAUAACUCUAUAUUGUCUAAUUUAAAGUAUGUUUGUCGUCGAAAAUUGGUUAUAAGAACAUAUUGUCUUCCUAGUGUUCACGAUAAGAAGCCCCGGUUUCGAAAAUCAUUUUAGGUGUACCUAGAGACCCCUAUCGUUCGCUCGAUUUUAAUGGAAAAAUACCACUCGAUUUAUUGUGCAAACUUUCCAAAAAAUUGGAAAAAAAACGGAAGAACGGAUAAUGGGUAGGUACAAUAUCAAAAGAAUAUUAUUAUAGAAAAUGUUCAGUACAUAUGUAAUUUUUUACCAAAAUAUGACUUAUAUUUUGUUGACAAAGCAACACUAUAAACUGAACGCCACUCAGAAUCGUUUUUUCGUUAGCAAUAGUUUAUCGUUGCUUACUGAUACAAAUUAAUUUCCCCUUUAUAGGUAUUCUACAUUCCCAACUUUCCAAUAACAACAGUGGCUUUGCAUCGUGCGAAGUAUGUCCGCUUUUUUUUUUAAUAUUGCGUAUAUAAUUUCUACCAGAAAUCCCGUAUUGAUUUUCAAGUGUAACAUCUUUUCCGAAAGAAAAAUGUUUCCAGUAUAAAGUGGUCAUUUUGAUUUUUUAAACGCUUUCCUUAAUAAUUGGGAAUAACCAAAAAACACGAAAAAUGAAAACUGACUAAUUUACGGACGUUACAAUUGAAUUACUUUAAAU